GGGGAAUAUUGCGCAAUGGGCGAAAGCCUGACGCAGCGACGCCGCGUGAGGGAUGAAGGUUCUCGGAUCGUAAACCUCUGUCAGAAGGGAAGAAACCGCACCGUGCUAAUCAGCGGUGCAUUGACGGUACCUUCAAAGGAAGCACCGGCUAACUCCGUGCCAGCAGCCGCGGUAAUACGGAGGGUGCAAGCGUUAAUCGGAAUUACUGGGCGUAAAGCGCACGUAGGCUGCUUUGUAAGUCAGGGGUGAAAUCCCACGGCUCAACCGUGGAACUGCCUUUGAUACUGCUUAGCUUGAAUCCGGGAGAGGGUGGCGGAAUUCCAGGUGUAGGAGUGAAAUUCGUAGAUAUUCGGAAGAACACCAGUGGCGAAGGCGGCUCACUGGCUCGUAACUGACGCUGAGGUGCGAAAGCGUGGGGAGCAAACA
rnacentral:rRNA from 1 species